rnacentral:pre_miRNA from 1 species
UCCUAGAAAGACCACAAUUUUGCUCCAAUGUUUGACCGUCCAUCUUAUUUGAAAAAAAAAUAUGAUUAGUAUUUUAUUGCUAUUAGAUGGUAAAACAUGAAUAAUACUUUAUGUGUGACUACUUUUUUUAUUUUUGCAUAAAGUUUUGAAAUAAGACGGACGGUCAAAUGUUGAACACGAAAAUCCAUAACUGCACUAAAA